rnacentral:rRNA from 1 species
CCUACGGGAGGCAGCAGUGGGGAAUAUUGCACAAUGGGCGCAAGCCUGAUGCAGCAACGCCGCGUGAGGGACGACGGCCUUCGGGUUGUAAACCUCUUUUAGUAGGGAAGAAGCGAAAGUGACGGUACCUGCAGAAAAAGCACCGGCUAACUACGUGCCAGCAGCCGCGGUAAUACGUAGGGUGCAAGCGUUAUCCGGAAUUAUUGGGCGUAAAGAGCUCGUAGGCGGUUUGUCGCGUCUGCUGUGAAAACUGGAGGCUCAACCUCCGGCCUGCAGUGGGUACGGGCAGACUAGAGUGCGGUAGGGGAGAUUGGAAUUCCUGGUGUAGCGGUGGAAUGCGCAGAUAUCAGGAGGAACACCGAUGGCGAAGGCAGAUCUCUGGGCCGUAACUGACGCUGAGGAGCGAAAGCAUGGGGAGCGAACAGGAUUAGAUACCCUGGUAGUCCAUGCCGUAAACGUUGGGAACUAGAUGUAGGGACCAUUCCACGGUUUCUGUGUCGCAGCUAACGCAUUAAGUUCCCCGCCUGGGGAGUACGGCCGCAAGGCUAAAACUCAAAGAUAGUACGGCGUGAGAGACGCGACGACGACGACGAGGAGGAGG